GGUACAUAUAGUGUUUUAUUGUUAAAAACAAGCAUAGAAAAGCAAAUAAAUAUUUUUAAAUGUGAAAAUUCUGGGCUGCUCAUCUCAGAAGAAAAAACAGAAGAGAUAUCAGGAUAAAGAAGAAGGAAAAACUAAGAAGAUACAAAGAAGCAUUGUGUGUAUAUGCAUUGAACCCAUAUACAGAUCUAUGACAAAUUUUCUUAAUUGGAAAUCAGCUGAACAAUAGGCAGACAUGGAACCUAUAUAACAUGAAAUGCAGAAUCUGGACAGUAAAUUGACAUCUUAUGGACAUGAGGAAAUUAUAAGAGUUCAAUAUCCCUGCCUUCUCCCUUUGAAAGAAAAAAGUGUAAAAUAAAGGCUUUGGGAAAAGAUCCACACUUGAGUAACACAACUAUUUUUUUGUCUCUAAAUGUUUACAAAGGAAAACAAAAGAAGAAGACUCUCAUUCAGAUGCUCCAAUAUGACCACUUCAUAGACAAAUGGAUGCACGUGCACAAGAAUAGUCUAAGGACGCUGCUGUAAAGUCUCAUCAUAUUUUUAACAAAUAGAGGAAUGUAUUAGAAGAGAUUAGUGCAAGCAAAUCUGAUUCAGUAUUGGCAAAAAGUAGAUAGAAUCUGUAUUUUUAAGAUAUUGGUGUAAAAAUCUAAUCAUUAAUGUUACCAGGUCUUUGCCAAAAUUAUUUGACUGUGUUUAAUCUUCAGGAUUGUAAUUCUAAAUUUGAAUAAAUCAGAUGAAAAAAUCAAAGUUUUUCAGUGCAGCACUGCUUUGAGAAGAAGUUAUCUUAGGUCAUUUGCCCUGUUAAUGACAUUUGAUAAAACUUUUGUAAAAUAAUGCAAGUUUUAUAGAAAAAAAAAGAAAAGAAGAUGGCAGCAAACUAGUGAUCCACCGCCAAAGUUUUGUUUUAUGUUCUGUGUUCCUACAGUAAAAUUCAGGAUACAAUAAAGAUGUACACUAGAAAUUCGCCUGAUGCUGUAAUAAAAGAAAUUCCUCGUUCAUGCCAACACCCUAUAGACUGAAAUUACUGGCAGAAGAACUGGGAAAGGUCCUAAAAAAGUUGGCAUGCCAGAUCAUCGAGCAAAGGAGACAGGUUAUCUGUAGGCAAUCCAAUUCAUGACACCCACACAUGACAAAGUUGUAUCUUGAAGAGUAGGUCGUAAACAUGCUUUAACGCAUUCUUGUCUCUGAAAAGUUUGAAGGUUUAUGUCUUUUUGGGACGUUUUCAUACCAAACACGACUUAUUGUCUUUUGUGAACACAAAUCGUGAGAGAAGGGAGUGUAGGAAUGCACUCCGCUUAAGCUAAAAAUUUCAUUUGCACUUGAAAAACAAGCACAAAGAGCAAGUACAAGAAGUCUUACAUUAUGAGCAAAUUUGUAAUAGAUGAUCAUAUACAAACUUGAUAACAAGUGAGAUCAAAUGAUGCCAUGAAAGUAUAAGGAAAUUAAGUUUGUGGAAACUAAUUUUCCUGGAGUUCGCGUUUUUAGGUGAAUCCAUGAGCAUCUUUUUGCGAAAAACCAAUUAAAAGGAAAUUUGCAAAAAUGAACUGCAUCUCCUUUUGAACUCCUCAUAACAAUAAUUUCAGCUUAUAAAAUGUCCUCUUAUCUUUAACCAGUGAAUUCGCGUUUAGGUUGACUGUUUUUUCAAAAAUCUGAGGCUGGAUUGUUCUUAAUUUGUUCUUAAAUUAAUAGGUUGUAAGCAGUGCGAUUGCUAGCGUUUUCGCUCAAGGGAGGUGUUCAGGCCUUAUUUGCCAACAAAGUGAGUGAGACAGCCUUCAUUUGCCCACAGGUUUGAAUACUCACUGAAAAAGAACCCACAGACGGCUAAAAGUUCUCGCUUGUUAGAUAAAACGUUGUUCAAAAUUGCAUUUUACAGUAGCUCAGCUUGUUCUUAACUUGUUUUUAACUUUUGACCAAUUUGAGGGUCGUGUUCUUGUAAAUUGUUCUUGUAAAAAAAGAGUGUAUUACAAAAAAGAAAGUUGACUAUUACCAACCAUGACCAAUAAAAUGAAUGAAUUAUAGGUUGAAAUUUGGU